rnacentral:misc_RNA from 1 species
GAAAUGCGAUAAAUAAUGUGAAUUGCAGAAUUCCGUGAAUCAUCGAGUCUUUGAACGCACAUUGCGCCCGGGAGUAUUCUUCCGGGCAUGCCUAUUCGAGCGUCAUUUCCACCCUCGACUCCGGUCGGCGUUGGAGGCCUACAGACCACUGUAGCCUCUCAAGAUCACUGGCGGCGUCCGCUGGAAACCUUGCGUAGUAAAACUCCUCGCAUCGGGCCCAGCGGGCACCUGCCCCUAAACCACCGCCUCGGCUCCGGCCGUGCAACACUGGUUGACCUCGGAUUAGGUAGGGAUACCCGCUGAACUUAA